AAUAUAAAUUAUGAGAAAAUGAAUUAACAAAAUUUAAAUAAACAGUUUUUCUAUUAUAGAAGUUUACAAGAAUUACUUGAUUAUGAAGAUGAUGAUGUAGAAGAUGUAUUUGUUCUAAAUUUUGAAGUGUCAUUAGAAGUAUAUGGUGCUAGAGUCUCUUUUGAAUUGAAACCCAAUGGAGCUAAUAUUCCAGUCACUAAAGAGAACAGGAUGGAAUAUGUAGAUUGCUAUGUGGAUUUUAUCUUGAAUAAAUCUGUAGAGGACGCUUUUAAAUCUUUUUCCGAUGGAUUUUAUAAAGUCUGUGGCAGCAAAGUUUUAGUGAGUAUAUAUUUUAAUUUAUUGAUUUUAUUUAAAAUCUUUUUUUCAUUCAUUCACACUAUAUUC